UGCUGGAGCCAACCUGCUGUAGAAGUCCGGUCCCUUGCUGAGAAGACGUCGAAGAAACGGACGGACGCCUCGAACCUCGUAUACUGUUCAUGCUUGAACUAACCAAGUAUGGCACACUGCUACUGUUGAAACAACGAACCGAAAGAAAAAAGGAUAACAGGGUAAACGAUAGGAUGAUAAAGGUACGAUACCAAGGGAGGCGAUAAAUUUAUAUUAGAUCCUCGUCGAUCUUGAGGGCCGGUACUCGAAUGGCGCCGGAUUGGUAAUCCAUCGCCGGGUGUAACACCUGGAGAACUUUCGCAAGACGGUGCUACCCGGAUUUUCGGUGUCAUCAGAGUGUUGUCCGAUAACCGCCUGCUCGUAAAGGUAUUCGCCACUUUCAAGAAAUUACUGUUGUCGUUGUUCGAGGACGAGAACCAUCUGAACAUGGCUGAUUCGAACAAUGUUAAAAUUAUUAAAGAACAACGUUCGUCUAUAAA